rnacentral:rRNA from 1 species
CAGUAGCCGCGGUAAUACGGAGGGGGCUAGCGUUGUUCGGAAUUACUGGGCGUAAAGCGUGCGUAGGCGGUUUGUUAAGUCUGCUGUGAAAUCCCCGGGCUCAACCUGGGAAUGGCAGUGGAUACUGGCAAGCUAGAGUGUGUCAGAGGAUGGUGGAAUUCCCGGUGUAGCAGUGAAAUGCGUAGAGAUCGGGAGGAACAUCAGUGGCGAAGGCGGCCAUCUGGGACAACACUGACGCUGAGGCACGAAAGCGUGGGGAGCAAACAGGAUUAGAUACCCGUGUAGUCCCUGUCUCUUAUAU